GUCUAUUAAAUCAUCAAACAACAAUUUUUUAAAACAUUUGUCUAUUUUAAUAAAAAAAAUAAAUACUCUCUCCCAUUCUUUCUCAAACGUCUUCCACUCGUUCCCAACUCUCUCUCUCUCUUCCCUCACUCGGCCACCCCUCUCACCUCUUUCUCAUCCGGCGAAUUUUCGUUCAUCAUCACCACCGGCGAGGCGAACGCCACUGGUUGUUGUCCUCUCGAUCCACUCGAAAUCUUUGAAUCACAAUUAAAAUCCCUAAUUUCAUCUAGGGUUCCAGCCUCUCUGGGGGCUGGGAAAUCCCAGCGAGCAUCGCUGCAAUCGUCGAGCCUUCAUCCCGCCUGAUCCGCGACGCAGCUGCUGUUGGAAUGAUGGCUGAUGAUAAGGGUUCGCAGCUGCCGCUGCAGUAUCCGAGGCAAAUUGGAUGUUGCUUCUCGUGUGGGAAUGUUGCUUCUUGUGCCAAUUUGUGGGUUUUGGAUGUAACCUCUGAUUAGUGGAGUUUUUAAAUUUUAGAUUGUGGCAUUGUUGUUGGAGAAAUGGAGCUGAUGUAAAUUCGAGAAAUUACUAUGGGCAGGUAAAAUCAUUUCACUAUUUUCAUCUGUGCUUUCGAUAAUUGCAUUUUACAAGAAAUUAUGAAAUUUUAUAUCAAUAAUUAGCUAUUUUUGUUGGAGAUCAA